ensembl:lncRNA WW domain-binding protein 2-like
AUGGAAGUGGCUCGGUAUCAGUUCUCGAGGUCAGCCAGUAGUUCUCAGGAAAGGGUCCUUGCUCACUACAAUGAGGUGUCGUUAUUGCUGGAAGGGCAGCCGGAUUUCCCAGAAGAACUCAGAGGUGCCAAGAAAGGGAUGUUAUACCUUACCCAAUAUAAAAUAAUAUUCCAGCACAAAGAUAAAGGUUCCACCAUCAUCCGUUUUCCGCUGCACCUCUUAGGAGAGUGUGUUUUAGAAGAAGAACUGGGCCUCAAAUCUCAGCAUAUCAGAGGAAGCUUGGCUUCUACCCAGGGAGUCCUUGCCUUCAAAUUCACCUUCCAAUAUGGAGCAUCCGAGUGCCUAAACAUGAUCAAAGAUCUGGCUAAAGCAGACAUUUUGAGAGAAGGUACCAACCUCCAGGAAUAUCCCACUGCUUCCAUCUACACCUACGCUCAUCCUGCUGCACCUCGGACAGUUCGUUCUUUCGACAUGUUGCCACUAGGGCCACCGCCUUACCCUGGGCCCCCGGACCCUCCUCCUCCCUAUUCUGAAGUGGAAGUGGUAUUUCCUGGAAGAAACAGGAGUUCAGGAGUCCAAGGGAGCUGCUUGUUUUGCAGAGGACAGAGGAUCCAGGAACACGCUAACAGGCAGGACUGAAGAAUCAUGUGCAUAAAUGUACUUUUAUAAAAGAAUAGCAAGUUCUUCCAUGUCCUUGUCUUUCCUGUUGAAGGUUUUCUGGCAUGACACAAAUCCAGCAGAUUCAUCACACUCCAGCCCUCUGCUGACACUGCAUCCUUUUGGAAUUCAGCAGCAACCCACUGUGCCACGAAAAACCUCAUUUACAUUUUAAUGGGUUUUUCUGCUUGCUGCCUAAAUAUAGUCCCAACCUGCUACGAGCCAUUUAAAGCAAUGGUGGUUUUAUGUAUUACUCUCAUCUUUUCAUAACGGCUGAAUUGGUUGCUGUUUUCUGCCUAGAAGAUGCUUUUCAUAAACCUUUUUGGAAAAUAUGAAAUUUAGACCCAGAAGAGGCCCUGGAAUGUGUUACCUGGGCCUGUAUUGUAGUUGGUUGUAUCUGGCCCUUCUCCUGAGAUGGGAACAAGUGGGUUUUGGCAUGCUGUCCUACUUGGACAUCGCUAAUCUGGGCUGCCUUGCAUAAUUUUAAUCCCCCACUGAUAGUGGUUAGUGGAAUGUGCUUCCGGAUGAUGUUUUGUACAUUAUUACAUCAUUUCCCUCUCAUCUUGAUGUGACAUGUGAAUAUCACUGUUGUGUGCUAUUUUGUGCAAUGCAUAUUUUCUCACUGGAAGAGGUAUGGAAUGUGGUCCUUGAGGCUGUUUUGUGAGAUGAUCCAUAAGCCCACUUUCAUCAGGGGAGAUGGGUGGGUGACAUUCAUUGGACAGUCCUGUUCCAAAGUUGCUGUUUUUGGCCUCCCCACCCCUAAUACAGAUUCUCUGCCUGGAAUGGGUACUGGAUUGUGGUUUAUGUGAGUAUGUUGUGGCUGGUUGCAGCAGACCCUUCUAGUUAUAUGGGAUGUGUGAAUUUUGUUCACUAUCAUCCUAAAGGGAGUUGAGAAGUGUUCUGUCCUGAGUCUGGUGUAGUUCCAACAUCUAUAUAAAUGAUUUGCAUCAUAGUGUAGGUGCUUAUCAGUUUUACAGAUGAU